rnacentral:rRNA from 1 species
AGUGAACGCUGGCGGUAGGCCUAACACAUGCAAGUCGAACGGCAGCACAGUAAGAGCUUGCUCUUACGGGUGGCGAGUGGCGGACGGGUGAGGAAUACAUCGUAAUCUACUUUUUCGUGGGGGAUAACGUAGGUAAACUUACGCUAAUACCGCAUACGACCUACGGGUGAAAGCAUGGGAUCUUCGGACCUUGCGCGAUUGAAUGAGCCGAUGUCGGAUUAGCUAGUUGGCGGGGUAAAGGCCCACCCAGGCGACGAUCCGUAGCUGGUCUGAGAGGAUGAUCAGCCACACUGGAACUGAGACACGGUCCAGACUCCUACGGGAGGCAGCAGUGGGGAAUAUUGGACAAUGGGCGCAAGCCUGAUCCAGCCAUACCGCGUGGGUGAAGAAGGCCUUCGGGUUGUAAAGCCCUUUUGUUGGGAAAGAAAAGCAGCAGGUUAAUACCACGCUGUUCUGACGGUACCCAAAGAAUAAGCACCGGCUAACUUCGUG